rnacentral:rRNA from 1 species
GACGAACGCUGGCGGCGUGCUUAACACAUGCAAGUCGAACGGAAAGGCCCUGCUUGCAGGGUACUCGAGUGGCGAACAGGUGAGUAACACGUGGGUGAUCUGCCCUGCACUUCGGGAUAAGCUUGGGAAACUGGGUCUAAUACCGGAUAGGAGCCAUCUUUAGUGUGGUGGUUGGAAAGUUUUUUCGGUGUAGGAUGAGCUCGCGGCCUAUCAGCUUGUUGGUGGGGUAAUGGCCUACCAAGGCGGCGACGGGUAGCCGGCCUGAGAGGGUGUACGGCCACAUUGGGACUGAGAUACGGCCCAGACUCCUACGGGAGGCAGCAGUGGGGAAUAUUGCACAAUGGGCGCAAGCCUGAUGCAGCGACGCCGCGUGGGGGAUGAAGGCCUUCGGGUUGUAAACUCCUUUCGCUAGGGACGAAGCUUUUUUGUGACGGUACCUAGAGAAGAAGCACCGGCUAACUACGUG